AUGCUUAUAGUAAGAUUCCUCAGCAUUCCUGAACCACAGACAGACCUGCAGCAAGUUCCUGCUUAUCAGGCCAGAGCAUCUGGUGGAGUCGCAUCUGGUGAAGUGGCAGUCCAGACUGAGGACUGCAGGGUGCUCUGGAAUCUGGAGGCCCCCCUGGGCUUUGAGGGAAGAGUGGGCUGUCAUGGGUUCAGGUGUGCCCUGCUCAAGGAACUGCUUGAGCAGAUGGCUGGGCUGCAGCGAGAGAGCGGCAGCCUGAGGGGCUCCUGGGAGUCUCUGAGUGAGACAGAUAGGAGGUGUCAACCUACCCCUACUGAGGCCCAGCAGCCCCCUCCUAAGUCCCUGCAAGAGGUAGUAGCUGAUCCAGCUGCUCACCUGCAGGACAGAGGGCUUGACCUCCCACGAGAGGAAAGGGGCUGGACCCUCGUAUCUGCUCAAAGCAGAAGGAGGUAUCUGCCCCCAACACCCACGGUGCCACCAACCCCCACAGUGUCCCUGGGUAAUAGAUUCGAGGCUCUCGGGCAGGAAAAGGAUGAAGGUCUGGACAGCAGUUGGAACCCAGGCCCCAAGAAGCAUGUCAAGGAUGAGGGAAGUACCAAGCAUAGGGAGCGGGGCCGGUCGGGGCACUGCAUCCAAACCAGUGCCACAAAAAACGGGCAGAGAGUCUUAGUAAUCAGGGACUCCUUGCUUGGGGUUACCAAGGCUCCCGUUUGCCGCCCGGAUAACCUCUCCAGAGAGAUGUGUUGUCUUCCUGGAGUGCGUGUCAGAGACAUUAGGAAGGCUCUGCCACAGCUCAUUAAACCAGAGGACUACUAUUCUCUUACUGUCAUUCAGGCUGGGUCCCAGGAUGCUGCAACAAGGAAAAUGAGUAACAUUAAAAAGGACUUUGCAUCCCUGGGCAGGAUGUUGAAGGGAUCAGGGGUGCAGGUAGUGUUCUCCUCUGUCCUCCCGAUGGGUGACCGGGACCCAGAAAGAAGGAGAACGGGACAGGUAAAUGACUGGCUGAGGGGGUGGUGUCUAGACCAAGGCUUUGGGUAUUUUGAUCUUGGGCAGGCCUUUGAGAAGCCAGGUAUGUGGGCUGCUGAUGGACUCCGACUCAGCAAGUGGGGCACAAGUGUAUUGGGGAGCAAGCUUUCUGGACUUAUUACCAGGGCUUUAAACUAG
rnacentral:lncRNA from 1 species